AAGACACCACAGACACCACAGACACCACAACCACAAGGACAGACAAACAAAUAGUAACACAAUACUAUAGAGUUGUUAUAGUAGUUAACAUCAUACAGGACAGGUAGUUAUAGUAGUUAUAGUAGUUAUAGUAGUUAACAUCAUACAGGACAGGUAGUUAUAGUAGUUAUAGUAGUUAACAUCAUACAGGACAGGUAGUUAUAGUAGUUAACAUCAUACAGG